CCCGUCAAUUUGGAUCCAAAUUCGAGAUUUUCCUUGGGAGGUAUCGGGAAGGAUUUGGAAUGGAAAAAUAUCGAUUCAUACAGAAGAAAAGGUUCUCUAUUGAUUCGAACACUGUACCUAACCUAUGGGAUAGGGAUCGAGGAAGGGGAAAAACCGAAGAUUUCACAUGGUACUUUUAUCAAUCUGAUUUAUUUCGUACCUUUCGUUCAAUGAGAAAAUGGGUCAAAUUCUAC
rnacentral:lncRNA from 1 species